AGUAAUGCAUAGGAAUUUGCCUUGGAGUGGGGGAUAGCCCGGAGAAAUCCGGAUUAAUACCGCAUGCGCUCUACGGAGCAAAGCGGGCCUCUGAUUUAAGCUCGCGCUUUGAGAUAAGCCUAUGUCGGAUUAGCUAGUUGGUAGGGUAAAAGCCUACCAAGGCGACGAUCCGUAGCUGGUUUGAGAGGAUGAUCAGCCACACUGGGACUGAGACACGGCCCAG
rnacentral:rRNA from 1 species